UUGCUAGUCCGUGGUCUCCACUCCAGCACAUAAAAAAGCUUAGAUAAUAGAGAUAAAACAUGUUUUAACACUAUAAAAAAAAGGAUGCAUAAUCGCAAGAUAUGUAUGACGAUGUUGACGUUAGAUUUUCGGCUGAUAAACUUAUCACAAUUGACUUGAUCUGAUCCACACCUGGAUCUGCAGAAAUAAAUUGCUGAAGAUGUAUGUUCGCACCACUACGGGAUGUUAAAAUAAGUGGACUGUAUAUUGUUGAUAGGCGCGGUUUAUUGCCGUUCUAAUUACAAUAUUUAAAGAACUCGCGGACAAACAAUUAAUGUAAUGUAUGAACGAAUGUCGACCGUCGUCGGUGGUGUCCGUGAGCGCAAGACUGGUCUAUGCCCCUCUCGCCCAGCGCCCCUCUAAAAAUCAAAAAAUCAAAUCAAAAUCAAAAAACAUUUAUUCGCGUUCGUGACGCACAAACAUAAACGAAUAUAUAUAUAAAAUCAAACAAAAACAAAACAAGAAUAAAAUAGAAGAACAGAGGAAUAUGGUGAAAGGAAAAUAUGCGUCACAAUCACGCGAAAUGGCCCUCGCUCAGCAUAUGCAGCGACCCUAUCCGAAACAGAGUCGCGGCGCUGGUUUUCAGCUAUGGCCACCACUGACAUGUGACGUCAAUCGGUGUGUAAGCACUAAGUAAAUACAUAUUAAAUAAAAUAAAAGUAUUUAUAAAAGAUAAUAUACUACUAUAAAAAACACACUUAAUAUAAAUAAGAAAGAGAGAGAAAAAAAAAAAAUUACCAACAAAACAUCAUUCUGAACGAAUGUGAUGUAGUCUAUGUUAUCUAUGGUCCCUGCCGUUGACCAAUGACCAUACACAAUACAGACAAUUUGUGAAUUAUGUAAUGGCGACGAAUGCUUACCAACAAUUAUUAUGCAAUACAUCAUUGUGUUUAAAUAUUGUGGAAAUGAGUGACUGAAAUGGUGUUGUGAAAGAAAAAAAUAAAAUAAUGAACAUGAAUUUGUGUAAUGGAUACGUAUUAAGUGUGAGUGUGUAGGUCGGUCGUAAUCCUGCUACCAGGAUGGCGUGGACAAAAAAUAGGGGAGGUGACAGAGAGAUGAGGAAGAAAGUUUGACCAAAGUAGAUGCUCCACCAUACCGAAGAGGAUGAUUCAAAGGCAGCCCACACUGCAGGUAGUGAUCCCCAAACCAGAGCAUGUGUGCCAUGAACCCAAAGGCAUCGAAGUGGGGGAGGGAGAUCGUUCCAGCAGCGCGUGGCUGCAAACUUGAAGCAUCCUCUGAAUGAUGUAGUGCGAUGCGUGGGAACGGCCAGCGGACACACCAUGGAGCGAAGACCAUGCUUUAUCUGGCUUUGUUUCCAGGUCAGCUUUUUAUAAAGAUAUUCUGGUGUUUGAGCCCUUACAGUGCCAAACAACAAAUUGGCCAAAUGAAGCUUUCUCCUGGCUGCCAUCUUUAAUAGUUUUAGUUCAUUUAUGUAUGGGGUAACAUGACUUCUACGUGGAAUAUUUAUACAAAAACGAACACAGGCGUUUUGAAUACGUUGGAUAACACGCUCGGUUCUAGAGAGAAGGCAUGGACCAUACACUGUAUCACAGUAGUUUAACUUCGAUAGGACGAGGCUGUCAACAAGUUGUUUGCGCAAAGGAAUGCUCAGAUAUUUCCGUAUUCCAUAUAAUACCUUUAGCCUAUAAAAACAACUUCCUAGGAUUCUUGUUAUAUGUGACUCGAAUCGUAGCUCCGGAUCCAUAGUCAGGCCCAGAUUGCAUGCUUGCUCAACCCUCUCGAUUCUCUCUCCCAUGAUCACUAUCUCAGGGUUAGCUGACUGAGUAGCUUGAACUUGGUUUCUGGAGCCCAGAACCAUGAAUUUAGAUUUGAGCGGGUUAAGGACCAGUGAGUUCAUCUCUGACCAUACAGCCACCCUAUGCAGAUCCUCAUUGAUCUUCUGCACUGCCUCGGAUGUUUCAUUGACCUUGAACGACAAGUACAGCUUGCUCUCGAUGCACCGCUCACCGCUGCGCCGCUCGCCACGAUGACUCAGAAGUGAGUAGGCGGCCGCUAGCGCCCUUUGCCGAAGGUAUGUUGGGUUUGAUUCCCAACAUGCUCCCCGGGUUGAAGGAACUUCAAAGUUCUGGAAGGAGACAAAUGUUAUUGAAGGCCCUCCUGAUAGUGCCUCUUUUUGUUAGGACCUCUGCGACUCUGGAAAUCCCGCUACCAGGGUACACUUUGGUCACUCGACCUAGGCUCCAAAGUGAAGGAGGAAGUGCUCUGUCCUUUAUUAAAACAAGGGAGCCUAACUUCAGCUCCGCCCUUGACGAGUGCCACUUCACUUUCUACUGAAGAAGAGCAACGUAUUCCAGGGAGAAUCGGUCCCAGAAAUGUCGACGGAUGACUUCGGUGGUGUCCGUGAGCGCAAGACUGGUCUAUGCCCCUCUCGCCCGGUCGAUGCACCGCUCGCCGCUGCGCCGCUCGCCACGAUGACUCAGAAGCGAGUAGGCGGCCGCUAGCGCCCUUUGCCGAAGGUAUGUUGGGUUUGAUUCCCAACAAUGUAAAUAAAGCCCGAAUAAGAUUAUUGAAACUAUAUACCACUAUUGAACUGCUUUU